rnacentral:rRNA from 1 species
CUGCCCAAUGAUAAUUGAUUUAAUGGCCGCGGUAUUUUGACCGUGCUAAGGUAGCGUAAUCACUUGCCCCUUAAAUGGGAGCCAGUAUGAACGGUUUGACGAGGGCUUAACUGUCUCCUCUCCACCAUCAAUGAAAUUGAUCUCCCCGUGCAAAAGCGGGGAUUAACCUAUAAGACGAGAAGACCCUGUGGAGCUUAAGACAAAACUCUAGACCCCGCCAAAAAAUCUUAAUAAAGGACCAAGCAGAAAGUAGCUAGAGAUUAUCUUCAGUUGGGGCGACUGCGGGGAAAACAAAACCCCCGCGAAGACUAGGAAGACUAACUUCUUUAACCCUAGAACUACCCUUCAAAACAGUAGAACUUCUAACUUUUAUUGAUCCGACCCGUUGAUCAACGAAUAAAGUUACCCCAGGGAUAACAGCGCAAUCCCCUUACAGAGCUCCUAUCGAAAAGGGGGUUUACGACCUCGAUGUUGGACCAGGGCAUCCUAAUGGUGUAACCGCUGUUAAGGGUUCGUUUGUUCAACGAUUAAAGCCC